UCAGCUUCUCCCAGAUAACCUCAUUCCUAACUCGAUCCCCUCUAGUAAAUCCACACAUCCAACGCAGCAUUCUCAUUUUCACCACCUUCAAUUUUUUAAAUAUGAGCGUUCUUGAUUGGCCAACACUCCACUCCAUACAGCAUGACCGAACGGACUGUCACUCUGUAGAAUUUUUCUUUUAAGCUUAAGGGGCACCUUCUUACCACACAACACAAAGAAAAUAAUAUAUAAAGGGGGAAGAAGGAGAAUAAAUAAAUGAUUUGGGCUUAUCACCCUAUCCUAGUCUAAUUGGACUUUCAGCCCAACUUUACCUGUCCUAAUCUAGAUAUUGAGCUUUGACCCAUAACCUGUCCUAACUAUUUUUUUGAACCUUUGGCUCAAAUUUCACUUCACCUGUAUUAGUUUACAACUUUGGAUCCAAGGCCCAAAUGAAUAAAUAAUGAAAGGAAGAAAUAAAUAAAUAAUUAAAAAAAAAACAAUAAAUGAAUAAAAUAAAAAAAAUGAGACUUCUGAGUCUCUUUGCCACUUCAAAGACAGGACUUUAGUCCAUUCUUCUUCUUUGGACUCCUUGUAUUCACGCGCUAUGUAAUAGACUCUAAACUCUCUUUCGGGUUUGACUCAAAAGAUGGGCCUUAUUGGCCCAUUAGAGAAUGCAAAGUGUCGGUUUGGACUCCAACGAAUUCACAUGCAAAGGAAGAAAGAAAGGAAAUUAAUACGUAUCCAAAGUAUGAAAUGCUACGGGGAUAAACAAGUCGAUAGAUGAAAAGACAACUAUAGUAAUCCAAAAUAAAAUAGAAGGCAGUAGGUCCGGAUGUAGAAAUGCUAAGGCAAAUGAGCAUGCUCAAUAUAGUAAAGUCAUGCAAUUGGCUAUCAUCAAGAUAAUACAACAUAUUCAACAUAUUCCCACAAAGUGGAGUAUAGGGAGAGAUAAAUGUAUAUAGUCCAUACCACUACUUUAGACGAAGUAGAGAGGCUACUUCCCACAUACCCCGGCUCAGAAUAAAAACACUGCGAAUCAAAUCACGGGAGCCCAAAUAAAGAGACCAAUAAAAUAAUAAUAAUAAAGAUGAAAUAAAAAAAAGAACAUGAAAAUCUAGACUAGAAAAAUGUCACAAAUGUUACAGCUUUUUGAACGUAGAAAAAACAAGCAUUGAGUCAAAAAGAAAAAUUAUGGCUAAAUUAUACUGGAAAGAUCACAAGGCUACGAUUUUCAUCAAAACAAACUAACCAUCAAAUCAUGAAUCAAACCAACUAAAAAAAAGAAAUAGUAAACUUACACAAUAUGCUAGAAAACUAUAAUCUUUCAACAAACCGAAACAGCAAAACGAAUCAAAACAGUAAGGCUAAGCCAACUGACGAGGCAUGAAAAGUUUGAGUCCUAACUGAAUCUGGCAAGAUAUGCUCACCCAAGUUAGAGUGAGAGAUAUUGAAUCAAAAUCAUGAGUCAAACCAUGCUAAACAUCAUUACACUACCCAGACGAUGAGUUAAAGAACUUCAACGAAUAAUGUUUUAGCUAAAACAGUAAGCUAGGUACUGAGAUGAACAUACUAACAUAAUCCUAAGCUACCACAAGCAAUUUCAGAUGCAAAAUUGAGGAUUGAAAAUUACAGCAUGCAAGGUUUGUCGACAAACAGGAUUUAGUGACAAAACAAAAAUAAAAAUUGAAUCUUGUAAUGCUAAACUGAGGCUAACAGACUAAGGGGGCUAGAAUUAAAGUGAGGAAAGUAUUCAACUGCAAAAAGUAAUCGAACCACAUGAACACCAGCGAAAGACGAAAGAUUAAUGCUAAAACAACAAAUUGAAUUUAAACCCGCACUGAAACCAGAACCACAGUUCAAUAUAUCAGCCAACGUUUAACAAAAAGUCCUAUAGCUUUUCAAAGCCUAUACAACAAUACAAUCCCAACACUUACUACUAAGAUCACCAAAAAAUGGCUUUAAACACGAAAAAGGAAGAAGAAGAAGAAGAAGAAGAGAUCGACUGGCAGUGAAGAGGUAUGUUUACAGGUAAGAGGCAACUAUCUUUUAAUCAUCUGGAUAAUAAUACAAGCGAUCAGGAUAUGCAGAACCGUCUAAAAACUAAAAAAAAGUUUUUAGUUGAUUCGAAUAUAGAAAAAAAAAGUUCUGGUAUUGAAGCAGUACAUAAAUCAUGGCAUAUAGUCAUCUGAAAAUUCAAACAUAUAGCAGCUCAAGGAGAUACACGUACUUAUCUUAAACAGAACCAUGAACAUAAAGGUAUUUGAAACAUGGAUCAUACCAAUAUACACACAAAAGCACACCCCAGCGUAUCCUCUCAAGUUGAUAAAUCAAAACAACUCUUUUAAUCUUCAUCUAAACCAAGUUGAAACUAGACAGUAUUCAAGUUCCCGAUUCAUGUUAUGGACUUGCAGAUAACUAAAAUCGUCAUCAAUCAUGAGUCAAUAUUCAAAGUAAUUGAUAUCGAGACUUGCUACGUGAACACUGAUUCAGAAAAAAUAGCAUAACAACAACGAUCACAAAUAAAUUCUAAGGCCAUCACGACCAUCUAUAGGGAACAAUUUCCAGCCUCGUUCAUGAUUACCACUAAACGACCAUUACUACAAAGAAAGAGAUGAAGAAGGAAACCAUAAAAUUAAAUGGGAAAAGAAUGUAUUUACCUCUUGAGGCUGGAGAUAAGAUUUUCCAGCCUAUAAUUUGUACAAAAUUUAGCUUUUCUUGAAUAAAUUUGAAAAAAAUUGACCAAUAGAAAUUGGGGGAAAAGAAUAAUUCCCAAAGAACCAAUGAAAUUCACUCACAUAGGUACGGAUUCGUAUGAAUCUAACCGUUUGAGAGGCCACCUUAACGUUAUCUAGAAGAUUCCACUAUUUUGGGAAGCAAAUAGAGCAAACGAAGGCGGGAAAGGAGUUUUCAGACCACUGCUGAGUUGUUCGAGUUGGUUCGGGCAUGGGUCGCCGCUGGUCGAGGCAAAAUGGGGUCAAAACCUAAGUCGCGGUUUUUGGUUGUUGUUAUCGCGACGGUGUUUGUUGUAUUGUUG
rnacentral:lncRNA from 1 species